GGGGAUUUGGUGUAGUGGAACACACGCCAGAAUAGAAGCGAGCAGUACGGCAAAUAUAGAGCUCGAGCUGAGAACUAGCAUAUGUGGCGAGCCGGGAGUUCGAUCCUCCCAAUCCCCU